rnacentral:rRNA from 1 species
UGUGUAGGCGGAAAUGUAAGCGUCUUGUGAAAUCCCUCGGCUCAACCGAGGAAUUGCUUGGCGAACUGCAUUUCUUGAGGCAAGUAGGGGUACACGGAACUCUUGGUGGAGCGGUGGAAUGCGUAGAUAUCAAGAGGAACGCCGGUGGAGAAGUCGGUGUACUGGGCUUGUCCUGACGCUGAGACACGAAAGCGUGGGGAGCAAACAGGAUUAGAUACCCUGGUAGUCC